GCCGUCCUGAGCGCAGUGGCCGCUUUUCUCGUGGUCUUCAUUGCACUCAUGCUCAUCAAGCUGCGGCACAAAUUUAUUGCGAGAAAUGCCAUCCCAAUGAGAACGAAGACCUCAACACCGACUUGAGAGCGGAAAACAUGCCCGACAUGAUAACUACGAAGCAAGU
rnacentral:lncRNA from 1 species